UACGAAGGGUGCAAACGUUGCUCGGAAUCAUUGGGCGUAAAGCGCACGUAGGCGGCUUUGCAAGUCUGACGUGAAAUCCCUCAGCUCAACUGAGGAAGUGCAUCGGAAACUGCAGGGCUUGAGUACUGAAGAGGAUCGCGGAAUUCCCGGUGUAGAGGUGAAAUUCGUAGAUAUCGGGAGGAACACCAGUGGCGAAGGCGGCGAUCUGGGCAGAUACUGACGCUGAGGUGCGAAAGCGUGGGGAGCAAACAGG
rnacentral:rRNA from 1 species